AGGACGAACGCUGGCGGCGUGCUUAACACAUGCAAGUCGAGCGGAAAGGCCCUUCGGGGUACUCGAGCGGCGAACGGGUGAGUAACACGUGAGCAACCUGCCCUUAGCUCUGGGAUAGCUCCGGGAAACCGGAAUUAAUACCGGAUAUUACACCGGCUGACAUCGGCUGGUGUGGAAAGAUUUAUCGGCUAAGGAUGGACUCGCGGCCUAUCAGCUUGUUGGUGGGGUAGUGGCCUACCAAGGCGACGACGGGUAGCCGG
rnacentral:rRNA from 1 species